rnacentral:misc_RNA from 1 species
GAUGAAGAACGCAGCGAAAUGCGAUAAGUAAUGUGAAUUGCAGAAUUCAGUGAAUCAUCGAAUCUUUGAACGCACAUUGCGCCCCUUGGUAUUCCAAGGGGCAUGCCUGUUCGAGCGUCAUUACACCACUCAAGCUAUGCUUGGUAUUGGGCGUCGUCCUUAGUUGGGCGCGCCUUAAAGACCUCGGCGAGGCCACUCCGGCUUUAGGCGUAGUAGAAUUUAUUCGAACGUCUGUCAAAGGAGAGGAACUCUGCCGACUGAAACCUUUAUUUUUCUAGGUUGACCUCGGAUCAGGUAGGGAUACCCGCUGAACUUAAGCAUAUCAAUAAGCGGAGGA